AACGAACGCUGGCGGCAUGCCUAACACAUGCAAGUCGAACGAUACCUUCGGGUCUAGUGGCGAACGGGUGCGUAACGCCUUGGGACCUGCCCUUAGGUUCGGAAUAACUCCCCGCAAGGGGUGCUAAUACCGGAUAAUCUCUUCGGACCAAAGAUUUAUCGCCUUUGGAUGGGCCCGCGUUGGAUUAGCUAGUUGGUAGGGUAAAAGCCUACCAAGGCGACGAUCCAUAGCUGGUCUGAGAGGAUGAUCAGCCACACUGGGACUGAGACACGGCCCAGACUCCUACGGGAGGCAGCAGGGGGGAAUAUUGGACCAUGGGCGAAAGCCUGAUCCAGCAAUGCCGCGUAAGUGAUGAAGGCGUUAGGGUUGUAAAGCUCUUUUACCCGGGACGAUAAUGACAGUACCGGGAGAAUAAGCUCCGGCUAACUCCGUG
rnacentral:rRNA from 1 species